rnacentral:rRNA from 1 species
GGGGAAUAUUGCACAAUGGGCGAAAGCCUGAUGCAGCAACGCCGCGUGAGUGAUGAAGGUCUUCGGAUUGUAAAGCUCUGUCUUUUGGGACGAUAAUGACGGUACCAAAGGAGGAAGCCACGGCUAACUACGUGCCAGCAGCCGCGGUAAUACGUAGGUGGCGAGCGUUGUCCGGAUUUACUGGGCGUAAAGGGUGCGUAGGCGGAUGUUUAAGUGAGAUGUGAAAUACCCGGGCUUAACUUGGGUGCUGCAUUUCAAACUGGAUAUCUAGAGUGCAGGAGAGGAGAAUGGAAUUCCUAGUGUAGCGGUGAAAUGCGUAGAGAUUAGGAAGAACACCAGUGGCGAAGGCGAUUCUCUGGACUGUAACUGACGCUGAGGCACGAAAGCGUGGGUAGCAAACAGGAUUAGAUACCCUGGUAGUCCACGCCGUAAACGAUGAGUACUAGGUGUAGGAGGUAUCGACCCCUUCUGUGCCGCAGUAAACACAUUAAGUACUCCGCCUGGGAAGUA